GAAUCAAGUGCCUGCUGUGAUCAAGAUGCUAAAGUUAUAUUCACACAUCACCACCAUAAGCUGUGAAAGCUUAGCAAGGCAAGAGAUUCUACAACAAGUACAACCAAGGAAGUGCUCAGCAAACAGAAAAUGAAUAGCUGCACCUUGUCUAUGGAUUCUUCCUUGAAUAUCUCCAACACAGCCAAGCUUCCUUUCCUGUGGCAGGAAUGCCAGAAACCAGUCUGUCACAAUAAUAGACCAACAGCAUGAAUCUGAAUGGGCCUUCCCAACACUGCUCCGGGGGAUUCAUCGAUGGGAGUCAUGUGGAUGGAGCUGAAGAAGAUUUAUACAAAGCUUCCUAUGCAAAGCUAUCUGCAACAGGAGUAUUCCAUUGAGGGGAAAAAGGAAAUAGAAAGGUACUUUCUCUGCCUGGGGUCCUGAGGAUGCAGCCUCUCGAAGUGGAGAAGCAGCUCAGCAUGUUUGCUGUUGACCAUCUCUGGCCAAGUGAGCUUGGGAGACGGCUGUUACUAGAUUGUGACACCCAUUAACAAGGGAUCCAAGUUUUGUUUGGAGAUGUUGCCAAGGAAGUGAGCUCAUGUCUUGGGGGUUCCAUAACCUGAGUCUCCAUGUAAUAGAAAGGCCUAUAGUCCUGUAGGGA
rnacentral:lncRNA from 1 species